GUGACAGUGAACUACAGAAUGGCUCUCAAGGAAAGAGGGUGGGGUGGUGGGCUCGUUUGAGUUCUGGGUCAGGAAGUGGCCACAGCAGCAUGCUUUUGUUCUGGAUUUUGGUGAUCUAAAACCAGAGUGAAUCCUGUGCUUGUGCCUCUUGGUAAUUCUGUCCAGAAGAUGGCAGAUCAGAGUGAGGCUAGCAGUCCUUUUUGUGGCUCUGAUACUGACCGUUCUAGACAAGCAUCUGCAGCAGGACCAGGCUGGAAUUCAAAAAGCUGUCAGGUGUGAUGAUGUAUGUAUGAUCCACUCUGCUAGUCUUAGAAAUCACACUAAUGUAGAAAACAAGACCCCUGAAAAGCAGGCUCCUGGGCACUGAUGUGCAAUACAUAAUGAACACUGUAGGAUGGAAGAAAUUCACUCACAUGUCAUUCUGAAAAAGAAGUUACUAACCUGGCAUAGACACAGAAAAUACCAAAAUCAUGACUCUGCUUGCAAAUGGAGGGUACCUGGCCAGAUCUGUCUGCAUCUCCAAGGGCUGUAAUAGAAGAUUACCAAGCACUGGAGAAAUCUAACCUCAAGCUGAACAAAAUGCACCAGCAGGACCUGCUUUUUCAACUCUUGGAGAAACACACAUUCUCAGACAGCACCAACACACUACUGUGACUCGGCAUAUUGACUCAGGUUAAAUUAUAAGCAGUUUCUCACUUAAACAUCAAAGCAUGGUCGAACUA